GACAGAGGGUGCAAGCGUUGUUCGGAAUUAUUGGGCGUAAAGCGCGCGUAGGCGGGUCGAUAAGUCGAAUGUGAAAUGCCUUGGCUCAACCGAGGAAGUGCAUUCGAAACUGUUGACCUUGAGUCCCGGAGAGGGUGGUAGAAUUGCCAGUGUAGAGGUGAAAUUCGUAGAUAUUGGGAGGAAUACCGGUGGCGAAGGCGACCGCCUGGACGGAGACUGACGCUGAGGUGCGAGAGCGUGGGUAGCAAACAGG
rnacentral:misc_RNA from 1 species